rnacentral:rRNA from 1 species
AGAUUGAACGCUGGCGGCAGGCCUAACACAUGCAAGUCGAGCGGUAGAGAGGUGCUUGCACCUCUUGAGAGCGGCGGACGGGUGAGUAAAGCCUAGGAAUCUGCCUGGUAGUGGGGGGAUAACGCUCGGAAACGGACGCUAAUACCGCAUACGUCCUACGGGAGAAAGCAGGGGACCUUCGGGCCUUGCGCUAUCAGAUGAGCCUAGGCCGGAUUAGCUAGUUGGUGAGGUAAUGGCUCACCAAGGCGACGAUCCGUAACUGGUCUGAGAGGAUGAUCAGUCACACUGGAACUGAGACACGGUCCAGACUCCUACGGGAGGCAGCAGUGGGAAUAUGGACAUGGGCGAAAGCCUGAUCAGCCAUGCCGCGUGUGUGAAGAGGUCUUCGGAUUGUAAAGCAACUUUAAGUGGGAGGAAGGCAGUUAACCUAAUACGUUAGUGUUUUGAGUUUACCGACAGAAUAAGCGACCGUACUAACUGUCGUGCCAGCACG